GAUGAAGAACGUAGCGAAAUGCGAUAAGUAGUGUGAAUUGCAGAAUUCAGUGAAUCAUCGAAUCUUUGAACGCACAUUGCGCCUCCUGGCAUUCCGGGAGGCAUGCCUGUUCGAGCGUCAUCAAACCCCAUCGUGCAAAUGAAUUAUUUUUUUUGCGCGGAAGUGACGAUUGAGCGAGAAUAACAAAUCCUCUCGCACCUCGUCGAAAUGAUUGCGGGCGGAAUUUGGGAUCGGGUUCCUCGGCGUAGUGUAUCAAUGCAUAUUUAUGCAACUUGCCGCGGAGUUUAGCCUGACCCACGCGUUCUCGCCGUACAAACACCUCAUUACUGUACAAGUUUUUGACCUCGGAGCAGGUAGGGAUACCCGCUGAACUUAAGCAUAUCAAUAAGCAGAGGA
rnacentral:misc_RNA from 1 species